CGCAUCUGUGCAUGCAGCAUAUCAAUAAGCGGAGGAAAAGAAACUAACAAGGAUUCCCUCAGUAACGGCGAGUGAAGCGGGAAGAGCUCAAAUUUGAAAUCUUGAAAGGUCACCUUUCACGAAUUGUAGUUUAAAGAAGUGUUUUCUGUUACGAUCGUAAUAUAAGUUCUUUGGAAUAGGACAUCACAGAGGGUGAGAAUCCCGUCUAUGAUUGCGAUUUGUAGCUUUGUGAUACACUUUCAAAGAGUCGGAUUGUUUGGGAAUGCAGUCCAAAAUGGGAUGGUAAAUUUCUAUCUAAGGCUAAAUAUUGGCGAGAGACCGAUAGCGAACAAGUACCGUGAGGGAAAGAUGAAAAGAACUUUGAAAAGAGAGUUAAAUAGUACGUGAAAUUGUCAAAAGGGAGGCGUUUAACACCAGUGUUGUUUUCUGAAAAUCAACCUCUGUUAGCUUUAUGCAUGUUUGUUUAGACCUAAUCAGCUAUCUUGCAUGUUCUAUUGUUUGCAGUGGUGCACUUUUCAGUUUACAGGUCAACAUCAGUUUUUUUUACCGUAAAAAAGUUAAAGAAAGGUAGCUCAUGGCUCCGGUCGUGAGUGUUAUAGUCUUUUUCCUAUGCGGUAGGAGAGACUGAGGUCUGCAGUGUAGGCUAUAUUGGCUAGAUACUCAGGUGCUAUGUGAUACCAUUUCAUAAACAACUUGUUGAUUAUGUUUUGUCUAUUGCAUACUCGCUUGUACUAUCAUACCUACGCUUAGGAUGUUGACGAUCAGCUGAGCGCG
rnacentral:rRNA from 1 species